rnacentral:lncRNA from 1 species
GGCUCCAAUCCGCCGGGACGCGAGCGCGCGGGUCGCGUUGCAGAACCAAGGAAAGCCAGGGUGAACGGGGCGCCCGGGUUGUCUUCUGGAGCGUUCCGAGGAGCCCGCGCUGCUGACCCUUUGUUGGAGCGGGGUGCAUUGGCUCUCCUCCCUCAACCCGUCUUGACACCCGCAGCUGACAAGGAGAGAAUUACAUUACAAGAAAAAAAAGUAAGGAGAUUGAACUCUUCAAACCGAUCCAACAGUAAAGCCUUUUAAAAAAAUUCAUCCUUGGAAGUAAUUCAUAACUAACAGGUGUGAUCUCCAACCUCUGGAAGACCCUAAAAUAAUUACAGAUGCACCCUGGGAUUUCCUAGAAUUUGUGCUGGACUGGCUUCCAAAACUACUCAUCAUUGUCAUCCAAACAAAGCAGUGAGCAGCUGGAAGUUGUUGGUAUUGUACUAAAUAAAUCUAAAGAAAAUUAGAACAAAUAUGAUCUAUGUUUUAAUAAUCAUAAGUAG